GACGAACGCUGGCGGCGUGCUUAACACAUGCAAGUCGAACGGAAAGGCCCUGCUUUUGUGGGGUGCUCGAGUGGCGAACGGGUGAGUAACACGUGAGUAACCUGCCCUUGACUUUGGGAUAACUUCAGGAAACUGGGGCUAAUACCGGAUAGGAGCUCCUGCUGCAUGGUGGGGGUUGGAAAGUUUCGGCGGUUGGGGAUGGACUCGCGGCUUAUCAGCUUGUUGGUGGGGUAGUGGCUUACCAAGGCUUUGACGGGUAGCCGGCCUGAGAGGGUGACCGGCCACAUUAGGACUGAGGUACGGCCCAGACUCCUACGGGAGGCAGCAGUGGGGAAUAUUGCACAAUGGGCGGGAGCCUGAUGCAGCAACGCCGCGUGCGGGAUGACGGCCUUCGGGUUGUAAACCGCUUUCGCCUGAGACGAAGCGUGAGUGACGGUAAUGGGUAAAGAAGCACCGGCUAACUACGUG
rnacentral:rRNA from 1 species